rnacentral:ncRNA from 1 species
AUAUUUAUAUAGUAAAUAAUAUUUGCAUUUUAAGCUCUUUAUGUUAAAAGUAAAUAAAUUAAAAAUAGAAGAUAUAUUUAUUUGUUUUGUCAUACAAAAAUAGGUUUGAAAUUAUCUCAGGCGAAGCCUGUGCCAGCCGCCGCGGUUACACAGGCUGGGUAAAAAUAUUUGUGUUAUGAUAAUAAAAUUUUAUUAUAUUGUUUUUUUUUACUUAGGUGAAAUUUUUAUAUGAAUUUGUGAUUUUGUUUUGAAGAAAUUUUUGAUUUAAAUUAGGAUUAGAUACCCUAUUAUUCAGUAAUUUGAAAUUGGUAGUAUUUUUAGGUUCUUUAAAUCUAAAGAUUAUGGCGGUAUUUUAAGCUUUUUAGAGGAAUUUGUUCUUUAAUGGAUAAAACUCAAAAAUCUUACUUGGGUUGGUUAAGCAGUUUGUAUAUCGCUAUCAUAGAAUAAUGUUGAUUGAUUAAUAAUUAAGAUUAUCUUUAGUAAAAAUGUUAGGUCAAAAUGCAGCAAAAAUUUAAGGUUGAAAUAAAUUACUUUUAUUUGUAUAUGGUUUUUUGAAAUUAAGUUUAGGAUUUAAGAGUAAAUUGAAAUUAUAAUGUUCAGUUGAAUUUAGCUCUAAAAUAUGCACAUAUCGCCCGUCACUCUCAGUGAUGAGAUAAGUCGUAACAAAGUAAAAGUACCGGAAGGUGUUUUU